UACGUAGGUGACAAGCGUUGUCCGGAUUUACUGGGCGUAAAGAGCGCGCAGGCGGUCGUUCAAGUCGAGCGUGAAAGCCCCCGGCUCAACUGGGGAGGGUCACUCGAUACUGAUCGACUCGAAGGCAGGAGAGGGUAGUGGAAUUCCCGGUGUAGUGGUGAAAUGCGUAGAUAUCGGGAGGAACACCAGUGGCGAAGGCGACUACCUGGCCUGUUCUUGACGCUGAGGCGCGAAAGCUAGGGGAGCAAACGGG
rnacentral:rRNA from 1 species